rnacentral:rRNA from 1 species
GACGAACGCUGGCGGCGUGCUUAACACAUGCAAGUCGAACGGAAAGGCCCUGCUUUUGUGGGGUGCUCGAGUGGCGAACGGGUGAGUAACACGUGAGUAACCUGCCCUUGACUGUGGGAUAACUUCAGGAAACUGGGGCUAAUACCGGAUAGGAGCUCCUGCUGCAUGGUGGGGGUUGGAAAGUUUCGGCGGUUGGGGAUGGACUCGCGGCUUAUCAGCUUGUUGGGGGGGUAGUGGCUUACCAAGGCUUUGACGGGUAGCCGGCCUGGGAGGGUGACCGGCCACCUUGGGCCUGCGAUACGGCCCAGUCUCCUACGGGAGGCAGCAGUGGGGAAUAUUGCACAAUGGGCGGACGCCUGAUGCAGCAACGCCGCGUGCGGGAUGACGGCCUUCGGGUUGUAAACCGCUUUCGCCUGUGACGAAGCGUGAGUGACGGUAAUGGGUAAAGAAGCACCGGCUAACUACGUG